UCCUCAAUAGCUCAGUGGUAGAGCAUUCGGCUGUUAACCGAAGGGUCGUAGGUUCGAGCCCUACUUGAGGAGCCA
rnacentral:tRNA from 1 species